AGAUGCUCAUUCCACCUUCUAUGCUUGCUUCGGCUUCAUAAACCUGGGAAUGACGCAGAGCCAUUUACGGUGCCUACGUCCGAUUAUUGAUGAAGCGCUGCUUCAUCGCUGUUGGACGUAACGUUGAGUGGGGCACCUUAAA
rnacentral:sRNA from 1 species